GAAAGGAAGGGGAAUAUGGUUUCUGAAAGAAGUGUAGUGCUGUACCAGGAAGGAACAAUGCACAUGUAAAUAAAAUAUAUGUUACUUGAAAUUGCACAAAAGUGGCUAGCCACUUGUUUUGACCAGAGGAUUGAUAUUUGAAGGAUGCUGGUAGAUAGCCCACAUUUCAAAGCAUCUUACAGACUUCUUGCCUUAACAACUGACACUGAAGUAAAGAAGAAGAUUGUGACUGUAAAAUUGGAGGUUGAGAGAACAACAUUAAGACAAGAGAAAGCGUGAACCCAGCAAACCAGUUAUGUUCCUACCUGAAGUCAGGAAUCAAGGAGAAGAUGAUUACGUAUCACUGCCAGAGUCCCAUGGGGCGGGGGAACCCUCUGGAGAGAGGGGCAAAUUGCGUGCCCAUUGAGAAGUGAGUUCUGGAUGGACAAAACAAGAUUCGCUUCAAAAUUUGAUUCACUUCAAAGACAAAGUUAGGACCCAACCAGCUCCAGGCUCUGGACCCUUUCACAGCAUCCAUGUUCACACACAUAAGAGGACUAUACAGAAGUUUGCUCUAAGUGUUCAAGUUUUUAUUCUUCUCAGGCUUUAAUUUUUGUUUGUAAAUGAGGAUAAAUAAUGCCUGGUGAUUUUCAUAAUCCAUCACAUUUUGAAGAUGAAACAUUUUGUUCUUAGAAUACAAGAGGGGGGAAUGAUCGCAGCACAGUGCAAGAAAUUUAUUAGAAUUUUUUUAAAUGCCUGAAGCUGUGAAGAAUAUUCCUUCACUACCAUGUUGCAAGAGAAAGAUUAUCUUCUUCUGUGAUCUGGAAGUGGAAAUUUGAUCUUUCAGUGUAGUCAGAGUUGCAGUGUUGCAGUCAGAGUUGAUGGUUUGUCCAUGUUCCAGGAAAUCCAGAAGGAUCAUGCCUUUUCUAUUCCAAAAGACAGUGCACAUCACUUUACACUCUGAAGGCUGCAUCUUGGACUUUUCCUUUGGCAGGGAACUCAUGCACCAACAAAAUGGACUGCUGUUUUGGUAGUGGUGAAACCACGUCUCUUCAACAGUAAUGACACAGUUCAGGGAACCAUCACUUUCAUAUUGCUUCAAUAGGUCCAGACAGACUUGUAUACAGUGUUCCUGAGAGCAUUCACGGGACACACCUGGCCCAAACUUUGAGAUAUUGCAGUAAUGCCAGCAUUAUUUCCAACAUAGUGAAGUUAAUACUCAGCUCCAUCCCCUGGCCAUAAUACAUCAACUCACAUGGAUGAGCAUGCCAUCCAGUGAGUAUUGGAGUAUUGGAGGGAAGGCUCAACCUCUACUGCCAUACCGCCAAUAUCUGUCUCUGAUUUUGUGGGCCAACAUAACAAAAAUAAAAGACAUUACUUUCAGAGCAGUGUUCAUAUUUAUCAAUGUCUUCUAUGGAAAACAAGCAUACAAACAGUUAGUCAUCAUUUUAAUACUGAAAAGGAGUAAACAUGUAAACAAAGUUGGAACUGACUGUUACAAACUUUCCCAUAUUAAGUUGUUCAGAUAAAUGCAUUAGAGCAUUCAAUCCUUGCAACACCUAGCCUUU
ensembl:lncRNA